rnacentral:tRNA from 2 species
GCGGGAGUGGCGGAAUUGGCAGACGCGCUAGAUUCAGGUUCUAGUGCCCGAAAGGGCUUAUGGGUUCAAGUCCCGUCUCCCGCA